CUAAGUUGAAGGGCCGCUGUAUUUUGACCGUGCAAAGGUAGUGUAAUCACUUGUCUUUUAAAUAAAGACCUGUAUGAAUGGCCAAACGAGGGCUUAACUGUCUCCCAUUUCCAGUCAGUGAAAUUGAUUUACCCGUGCAGAAGCGGGUAUAAAAAUACAAGACGAGAAGACCCUUUGGAGCUUAAGGUACAAGACUCAGCCAUGUUAAGCAACUCCAUAAAAAGCACCUUAAACUUUGUGGUAACUGAGAUCACACCUUCGGUUGGGGCGACCACGGAGGAAAAUAAAGCCUCCAAGUGGAUUGGGGCAAAUCCCCUAGAACUAAGAGAGACAUCUCUAAGCAACAGAACAUCUGACCAUAAAUGACCCGGCCAAUAAGCCGAUCAACGAACCAAGUUACCCUAGGGAUAACAGCGCAAUCCUCUCCCAGAGUCCAUAUCGACGAGAGGGUUUACGACCUCGAUGUUGGAUCAGGACAUCCUAAUGGUGCAGCCCGCCUAUUG
rnacentral:rRNA from 1 species